UCCACAGCUUCUCUGGGCAGCCUGUGUCAGUGUCUCACCACCUUAAGUAAAAAAUUUCCUCCUAACAUCCAGUCUACAUCUCCCCACUUCUAAAUUAAAGCUGUUGCCCCUUGUUCUGUCACUGUCUAUCUGCUUGGGGACUUUUCUGGGAUUUUUUUCCUGUAAAGCAGCUAGAAUAUGUGUUAAUGAGAUCUCUGAUUUUUGCGAAAAUUUCAGUUGGAUAUAAAACUUAAGAACCAGUUAAGAACCAGUUUACAGUAAGGGAAGUGGUAGAUGGAACACUUGGGUACAGAAACUAGGAUCUGUGUGUAUUACUGGAUUACCAAUGAUUUUGAUUUUUUGAUGAACUUGCUAGGACUUUGCAUAUUAAUAGCUGUUUUGCUUCAGGGACAAAUAACAAUAUAAACUAUAUUUCAGAACAGGUCAAAUAUGGACUCUGAAAAAUAUGAUUUUCCAUUUAUUUUAUGAGCACUUGAAUAUGGGAAAAUGAUGGGCAGUUGGGGACAAAACAUCUAAAUGAAUUUUUUAUGCAGCAGCCUCAGAAGUGGAAGUAUUUAGGCAAAACCAUUGUUAUUUUCUGCCAAAAAGACUUUUUAAAAUAUGCCAGUGACUGUAAUAGACUUCAGACAAUUAAGAGCCCGAUGGGUUCUGCUUUCCCAUUUGUGGCUGAGUAGAAAUAGAACCUAUAGUUUCCUACAUAUUGAAGUUCAAAUUUAGAAGUCUUAGCUCUGUAUCUUUGGUCUGCUGGGGUAACAGAAAGGAGAUAGGAAGAUAUGGUUGUUUAUCUUUGCUAGGCUUAGGGACUUUUCUUUAACAUGGUAAGAAAUCAAAACUAUUUGUGUUAAAUUUAGCUCGAUAAAAGUUUGAGGUUUGACCCAAGGUAUGUUUUCAGCCCGUACACUUAGCUACAUAAUUCAUCAGUUAUGCUAGGAGAUAAAAGCUCAUUCAUUCAUUUAUUUAGUCCUUCAUUGGUUUCUUUUGGAGGAACAGGAGAGCAACAUAUUAUGGUGAAGGCAUUUGUGGAACAUGAGAACGUAGAAUGGGAAUUGCCUUCUGGAAGGACAUCCGCACAGUACCGUAAUUAAGCUUCCAAGAGAAACAGUGAACAUAUGAUACACAGUUUGUGUAUUAAACAUUGUACAUAUUUACAUUUUUUUAUGUUAUAUUUUAAUACUGAGUGAAAAAAUGUAGAACUGACUGCUUCUCCAACCCGUGGACUGUUUCAGCUUACAUAAUAAACCUGCACCCAAGACUAAAUAAACAAAAUCUGCUAUCCUAUGGUUUUUAUCUUGUUACAGCCGAUGAUUUCUGCUAAAGCUAGAAAAAAAACCUUCCACUGAAUUUAAUUUAUGAAGCUGCUAAAUAGAUUACCAUUUUCCUUUUAUGGUGCUUUUUUUUCUAGAAAAUUCUGAUUUAACCAGAUUUCAGUCCUACUGCAAACCAAAAUAAUCACACUAAUUUAAAAUCCCUGUUAUGGGUAUUGUGUGAAUAGACAGUCCUACAGCACCUGGCUAUCGAUCAAGCACUGUGCAGGGAUUUUGUUUGAAACAACCAUUUGUCAUGAAAAAGAAAUUCAGAAUUCUGUAUGAAGUUGGAGCAGCCUUGUGGUCUCAGCAUUUCGUGAGAUUUGAAUGCAAAGAUCUGGCAGUUCUCAGAAAUCCACAGUCCAAAGUGCUGAACUUCUCCAAGGUAGAUAGAAGAGACUGGAAUACUGCAUUUCUAACAGUUGAGAGUAUGCUUAUAGGUAAGUUUAGCCUGUACCUACCUCUGCAGCAGUGAGGUCAAAAAGUGAAUAAACAAGGAUAGCAUUAAUAGAUUGCAAAUUUAUUUGUUAAUGCCUUGCUAUUGGGAAGCUGUUGGUACGAUGUUUAGUAAUAUAAAUCAUCAAGGUAAGGUUUGAAGUAUUUAGGAAAGAUUUGGUGCUUCAUUGGGUCUGUUAGUGAAGAAAUUUGGACUUAUUUAUAAGAAACAAUCAAGUAAUUUCUUGAGAUUCAGUCAUAUAGCUAUUGCUCCUGGAAUCUGCAAAUAGUGAGGCAACACAGAGUAGAAGCUGCAACAGGUCAAUUGCUGCCAGUUCUAAUAACUUUUCCCAGAACAGAUGCUUGGAAUGAAAUUACAGCCAUUUCUCUGGCAUUGGUAUUAAAAAUCACUGUUACAAAAUUAUAGAUUUCUACAUUGUGUAUGCACGUGUACUGUCUAGUGUAGAAAUAUUAAUUUAAAAGUUGUGCAGUGAAGCCUACCACAGCCUCUCUCUCCAGUCCUUUAAGCCAGCUGAGAAAAUGUAGUAUGACCUUCAUUGCAUGCACGUAUCCAGAAAUCUAUCUCAGUAACUUCUAUGUUGACGUUUUCCACAACUGUAUUUCCUAGUGAUGUGACCAUAAAAUGCUGCAAGUAGUGUCUACCCAACUUCAUGUGUUUCUAAGACCACUUGUUAAUGCCAUUAUUGAAGGAAAAUGCCCUAACUAGAGAAAAAAGAUAUGUCUUAUGGAUAUCAGAUGUGGAAAAUAAGAACAAAACAGGAGUGGAUCCUCUAAUACUAGAGUUCUCAUGCCACUUUUCAUAGUUGUAAUUUUCAUAUUUUGUAUCCGAACAUACUUAUCUCUGUCACAAUCAAUGUGAACUCUGAUAUUUUGAGUUUCUCUACAUUUUCUGCUGCUUAAGUGUAGUUUGUAAUGGUAUCAUUUGAAUGCAAAGUCACUCUUGAUGUAACCCAUUGAAAAGCAAGCUAUUGAUGCAUACAGAAAUACUUGUUAGUAUUAUUUAAGCGUAUAUUUAAUUCUGCAAUGUUUUUGAAACUAUUAGGAAAUGUAAUAAUGUUACUGACAAGCUUAGUAUAAUUUAGUUUUCUUCUGGCUGUGUAGAUAGAACAAAUAUUUAUUUUAUGUCCUGCCUUAGAGGGGAAAGUGAUGUAAAUUUUGUCUUGCAUUUUGAUCUGUUUUCCAUAUGUGUGUCCAUACUGUGCUCUAUUUAAAGCGAAAAGGGUUGUCUGAAAACAAAUUAAUGUGUUUUUAGUCUGAUUAGAGUGUGAUAUGACUGACAAGUUAAACACAGAUUUUAAUAAAUAGUUUGUUCAUUACUAAUGAGAAUAUGCAGCUUACCAAGGCUGGAAAAACUAGAACUGACUGAACUUAUUUGAACUUUACCUGCUCUUGUACAGAUACCUGAUCAAAGUCUGUGGGUCUUAGAUGCUCAGUGCUCAGGUAAAUUUCAGUAAACUUCUAAAUCUGUAGUUUUAGUUUUCUAAAUUGGAAUUUUAGCCUUAAUCAAUCUGUUGCUGUACUUCUAAAUGUUUCUUAUAAUCUGUGUUGCAUGCAUCAGUCUAGAAAAAUUAGAAUGGAAUUUAGUAUAGUCAAGUAGUAUUGUUAGUGGAGAUCCUGAAUGAUACUUGACUGCGAUAGGCAUACAACUCCGUUUUCUUUGACUCUUAUUUUUUGUUUUCCUUUGCUAAUGCAAAUAAUAAUAAUAAUAAACAUGCUGUAAAGGCAUA